UCCCUUCUAAAAGCACUUGCUUCGCCUGCGCUCAGUGGCGGGGUGAGUUGUCGUGGAAUGGGAAUAAGAAACACAUCGCUCUUGGGUGAGAAGGCAGCGACGUGUGCUGUUCAUUCUCAAUCCGCGGUGUGACAAUA